rnacentral:rRNA from 1 species
UACAGAGGGGGCUAGCGUUAUUCGGAAUUAUUGGGCGUAAAGGGCGCGUAGGCGGCCUUGCGUGUCUUUCGUGAAAUCCCUCGGCUUAACUGAGGACGUGCGGAAGAAACUGCAGGGCUUGAGUCCGGGAGAGGGGGGUGGAAUUCCCAGUGUAGCGGUGAAAUGCGUAGAUAUUGGGAGGAACACCGGUGGCGAAGGCGGCCCCCUGGACCGGUACUGACGCUGAGGCGCGAAAGCGUGGGGAG